GUCCGUGAGUGGGUGAGGACGGGGUCAACCUUAUCGCCUCCAGGUUCAUUGGAGCGGAAGGUAGCCUGCGAGCUGAUAAGGAUUCCCAAGUGAAAAGACUCGGACUUCACGUUUCAGGAAGCAGUGUGGUGUUUCCGUUCUGCUGGUGCUGGUUCUGCUGAUGCUGGUUCUGCUGCUGCUGAAGAUUCGUAGCGGAGCCUUCAGGAGACUUCGGCGUAUGGGGAAACACUCAGCUGUAUCUUUAAAGGUGAGG